AUUUCAGUGGAUAAAAGAUAAUGGAAUGGAUAAAAGAAUCUUAUUAAAUGGUGUAAUAUGAUGAAUAAGGUUCAUUUUCAGAAUUUAGACAGCAGCUCAGGACUAUUAGCCACCAUAGACAGUAUGUCAGUAAUCUAAUAUUAAAUUCUCAUAGUGUGAUGUGAUUUUAAAAUUCUGGUGGUCCUUCAAUAUUCAGUAGGUGUUAUAACCCAUUUCCUUUAUCUAAUGAAGAAUACACUACUAGUCAAAAGUUUUAGAACAACCCCAUUUUUUAGUUUUUAGUGAAAUUUAGGUAGCUCAAGUCCAGGGAAUAACUUUAAUUGGUACAAAGGUAAGUAGUAAACUGCCAAAGAUUAAAACAAAGUUUAGGUCACCUAAACUGAGAAAUAAUGUAAACUUAAGUGAGUUAACAACUUUAAGCUAUUUUGCCGCAGUGGAAUUAAGCUUUGAAAGUUGAUGCAAAAAUUCUACAGGUGUCCCAACUCGUAUAAAUUACUUACAAAAAGCCUCUGUCUAUAUAAAGAGAGUGCUGGAACAGAUACAUCUCAGUAGCAUUAUUUGUACAAUAUUGAACUGCAGGAAGUAGUACUGUAUAAUGGUGAGAAAAAGGCAUUUAACAAAGGAUGACAGAACAGUUGGUAAGGUGUUGAUGCUAUAAAACAUGACCCAAAACCUAUGUACAAAUAAUGCUAUUAAGGGUGUACAUUCUGUUCUGCGGUGUUUACAAGUUGUGACACCUGUUGGAAUUUUGUUUUGUACCUUUGGCAGUUUACUGUUUACCUUUGUAACAUUUAAAGUUAUUUGCUGGACUUAAUCUACUUCAAUUUAAAAAAAAAAAAAAAAAAGAAAACUAGAAAAAUUGGGAUGUAACAAAACUUUUGACUGGUAGUGUACUUAUAUUAUGAUAUUAAAAGCCUAUCAUUAAUGUGAUAAUUUCCUCCUUUUAGGCAGGUACAAAGGAGUUGUGUCAUGCUCUCUCUGUCAAUGGAUGGACCCGACGUCAACUGGAAAUUUGUUGGGAGUUGUGGCUUGGAGGACUGCAUUGACAGGAUUGUUCCUGCAGUGUUUAUCACCAAGCUUUACUUAUUGAAAGCUUACUGGCAGGUUCCCCUGACUCCUAGGGCACCGGGCAUCUCUGCUUUUGUUACUCCUGACCAUUUCAUGCUGUACAAUGUAAUGCACUUGGCAUGAAGAAUGCACCAGGCACUCUCCAGCGCCAUAUGCAUGUAGUGUUAAGGGAUGUGCCCCAGUGAAAGGUGUACCUCAACGAUGUGGUAGUGUAUUCCAGCUUGUUGCCAGCUUGAGGAUAGUGUUCCAGUAAUUUGCUUACGCAUUGCUGACCCUUAACCUUUCAAAGUGUGAGUUUGGAAAAGCUACAGUCACUUACCUGGGAAGCAGGCUGGUCAUGGGCAGGUUUGAACAGUCGAGGCCAAGGUGGCAGCUGUGCUCUCCUAUCCGGCCCUCACCACUAGACACGAACUAAGGCGUUUCUUGGACAUGGCUGGGUAUUAUCAGUGUUUUUCAGUGGUAGUGGCACCCAUUGCAAACUUGUGUAGUCCUGCUGUCCCAUUUGUGUGGACUGACAAGUGUCAGCAUAGUUUUUAAGCUGCUAAAUCUGCAGUGCUCCAGUGUUGGCUGCUCCUAACUUCUCUCUGCCGUUUCAGCUGGAAGUUGAUGCCAGCACCUCUGAGGCCAGUGCUGUGCUGCUGCAGGAGGGUAAUGGGGGUGUACACCUCUGUUACAUCUCUGCCAAAUUUAAGCAACAUCAGUUAAACUACUUCAUCAUAGAGAAGGAGACCCUGGCUAUGCAGCUUGCUCUGCAGCAUUUCCUGUGUGUGUUGGGUGCAGCUCUUUUCAGUUAUUGUGAUACAUAACCCUCUUGUUUUCCUUACCUAGAUGUACAAUCACAACCAGUGGCUGAUACGCUGAGAUCAGGCUCAAGAGGGGAGGUGAGAACGUAGUGGCAGAUACUGUCUCGCAGGUAAUGUUGUGUCACAUGAUUGUUUUCCACAAAACUGACCGUCAUUAUUAAUGCGGUGGUGGUUUACUAUUCCAAUCAGUGGGUAUCAGUGGUCUUAUGGGGGGGGGGGUGUUAUGCCAUGGUGUUGUGUUUGUGUGCUGGUGUCAGAGAGCUGCGUGGAGCUGUAGUGAUCGUUCUACUAUUGAUAGUCUCCGUUUUUAUUUGGUUAUUGUAAGUUGGAUUAUCCUAAUUCUCUUUUAUUGUUAGUUUGUGCUACCCAGUGCUCUACUGACUGUAUUUUUGUUGUAGUUUUCUUUUGUGUGUGAAUAGAAUUCCUUAUUAUUUGCUGAAUCUGUUUCCCUGUAUCUGCUCUGUUUGGCCCGCUUUACUAUUUCAUUUAGCUUUCCCCAACCCCUGGACUCUCACAGGGAACGUGACAUUAUGUACAGGCUUAAAGCUAAGGGUGUCACGGCUCUGGCUGUGACUCCAUUUUUUCCUGUGUUCUCUUUUUUCGUAUGUGUCUCCUUCCCCCCUCCUGUAUGUCUAUGUGUGUUUGUCGUGGGUGCGCCUACCUCAUCUGGCACCUGGUUCACCUCUACACCUGACUGCGAUCAUGUCAUCUACCCAGCAGUAUAGGAACCCUGGCUCUCCUGCCACUCAUCGCCAGGAUUCCAGUACCAGUAUCUUGUCAAACCAUCGACUGACGCCGCUUCAGCUCAUUCCCCCAGCCAUUCCAUCCUGCUCAACUGCCUGCCCACCCGCCUGCCCCUGCCUUCACCAGCCCCAUCACCACUUCAUCUUUAUCGCAAUAAAUCCAACAUACUCUCUACAAAUACCAACUGUGUCUGUGUCUGCUUCUGAGUCCAAAACAAGAGCCCUAACAUAACAAUCUGGCUACAAUGGACCCAGCAGACAUAAAUUCACUCUGCCAAGCUUUAACCUCCCAGGGCAACAUGAUAAAGUUCUCUGUGAAGUAGUAGAGAAUCUGCGAGCCCUCUCCUCCAGUUACACUCAACUCAGCAGCCAAAUGGACCAGCUCAACGCCCACCUCAUAGCCUCUUCUGCCACAGCAGCUUCACCAGUUGACAUUCCAACAUCACUCCCCACAUUGCACCUGGAGCAGACCACUCCACCCCCACUAGCCCAUGAGCCUUUCGUUCCGAUCCCUGAACGCUACUCUGGGGAUAUGGGGGUGUGUGAGCGGUUCCUUCUCCAGUGCUCUCUCGUGUUUCAGCAGCAACCUACAACCUACUUCUCAGAUAAGUCACAUAUAGCCUUUAUUGUGGGGUUAAUUACUGAUAAAGCUUCUCAGUGGGCCACAGCUUGAUGGGAAGGGCAGUGUCCUAUUUGUAGUGAUAGUUUUUGACCAUCCUGUUCAGGUAGCAGCUGACUGACUCCUCUCUCCGUCAGGGCUCCAGAUCAGUUGCAAAGUUUGCAGUUGACUUUAGGAUCCUGGCAGCAGUGAGUGGGUGGGAUGAAGCAGGUCACCCAAGAACAAAAAGGUCCCUGUUUGUUCUUGGGUCACCUGAGAAUAUUAAAUAUGAGUUAGCAGCGAGGGAUGAAUCCGAGAAGGAGAUGAGUGGAAAACUGCCUUUAGCCCUUUGGCCUCAUCAGCACCCCUGCAGUUUUUCAAGCCAUGGUCAAUGAUGUCCUCUGUGAAAUGCUGAACCACUUGAUAUUUGUAUAUCUGGAUGACAUACUCAUCUUCUCCUGGAAUCUGGAAGAACACACUCAAUAUGUCAAGUUAGUGCUCUUUCAUCUUCUGGAAAAUAAACUGUUUGUGAAGGCUGAAAAAUGUGAAUUCCACAUAACUUUUGUGAGUUUUCUGGGUUUCAUUAUAGAACAGGGACAGGUGAAGACGGAGCCAGCAAAAGUUCAGGCAGUGGCAGAGUGGUCCAAACCCACUUCAUGGAAAGAGUUGCAGCGGUUCUUAGUAAUUGCCUAUUUCUACAGACGGUUAAUUCGAGUUAAUUAGAUGUAGGCUCAGCUUUUACCAACAGAGUCAGUCUGAUAUCAGACCAUUCAGACUUUCAAAUCUAAACUUAAAAUAUAUUAUUAUGCCUUAACUUUCAGUUAGCUUCCUAUUCUUUUACAAACUCAGGCUUUGUACCUGUUGCCAUCCUACCACCAGCAGUUGGGCCUCAGUCUCAAUAAAUCAGUAAACUGAGUAUAAUAUAGUCCAGGUUGUUCUGCCGACGAGGUCACUGUAAACUUUUUGAUUAGACUGCAUCAUUCUAACUGUUUCCUCCUUCUCUCUCCUCCCUAUUACUCUCUGCAGGUCCUCCCACCUCCAGAGCUGUAAAGUCUGGAUCUUCAAAUGCAAACCACCUACUGUCCCCAUGACCCUGUGUAACACUUGCUGCUAAACCUGCUAAAAUCGAGGCAGAUGACCGCCCACCCUGAGUACGGUUCUGCUCAAGGUUUCUGCCUCUUAAAAGGAAGGUUUUCCUUGCCAGUGUCGCCUAGUGCUUGCUCUUGGUGGGAAUCGUAGGGUCUCUGAAAAAGUCUAGACCUGCUCUAUUUGGAAAGUGCCUUGAGAUAACAUUUGUUGUGAAUUGGCACUAUACGAAUAAAAAUUGUCUUGACUUGACACUUUGAAACAGCUAUUCACUAGUGCUCCAGUACUGACUCACCCAGAUCCCUCUUUGCAGUUUAUUGUGGAGGCGGAUGCCUGACUCUGAUGUGGGGCUGUCCUCUCUCCAUGGUGGUCUAAGGAUCACAAGCUGCACACCUGUGCUUUCUUCUCCUGGCACCUUUCCCCUGUGGAGUAUUAUGAUGUGGGAAACCGUGAGCUGUUGGCAGUGGUUCUGGCUUGAAGGGGCUGAGUGGCUAUUUGUAGUUUGGACCGACCAUAAAAACCUCUCUUACCUCCAUUCUGCCAAACGCCUUAACUCCCACCAGGCAUGGUGGACUUCGUUCCUUGGAAGGUUAUUCACCCUCAACCACCGUCCUGGUUCACAAAACACCAAACCUGAUGCCCUAUCCCAUCAGUCUGCUCCAGCGAAAUCCAGCUCUGAGCCAGAAACUAUUCUCCCCCCUUCUUGUGAGGUGGCCGCAUCUGCAUGGGAGAUUGAGACCUGCGUCCGGGAGGCACAGCGCUCGUAUCCAGACCCAGGUAAUGGCCCUCCUAACUGUCUGUUUUGUGCCUGAUUCAGUUAGGUCUCAAGUCCUACAAUGGGGUAAUUCUUCUAAGAUCCCCUGCCAUUCGGGCUUCCACUGCACCCUCGCCUUCAUUAAACAGCGGUUCUGGUGGCCAUCCAUGACCUGUGAGACCCAUGCCUUCAUGGCAGCCUGCUCCGUCUGUGCGCACAGCAAGGCCUCACAUCACCGCCCAACAAGUCUUCUGUGCCCUCUGCCCAUCCUCCACAGGUAUGUCCCCCUUCAUGGCCUCUCUAGGCUCAGCCACCUCUUUUCUCAGUCCAGUGUGGCGGUCCCAUCAGUCCAGGCUAACAUCCAAAGGUGUCGUCGGAUUUGGAGGGAGGUCCGCUCUGCUCUUCUCCAUUCUGCUGCUUGGAACCAACGCCUGGCUGACUGCCCUUCCCUGUGCCCAAUUUCCGACCCGGUCAGAAGGUAUGGCUUUCCUCCCGUGACUUACCCCUUUAGGUGGAGUCCUGUAAGUUGGCCCGAUACAUUGGACCCUUUGAAGUGGACAAGAUCAUUAAUCCCACUGCUGUAAAGUUAAAGCUGCCUUCUUCUCUGAAUAUCCAACCAACCUUCCAUAUGUCACUGCUUAAGUCUGUCUCUUCCAGCCCUUUGUUCCCUCCAGCUGAUCCCCCUCCAACCCACCUGCAUCAUCGACGAUCACCCUGCCUUCACUGUUCGGCGGAUUUUGGAUGUCCGCCACUGGGGCCAGGGGUUCCGGUUCUUGGUGGAUUGUAGGGUUAUGGCCCAGAGGAAUGCUCGUGGGUUCUGCGCAGCUUCAUUCUGGAUGCCUCCCUCACUUGGGACUCUCAUUGGGAGCAUCUGGACAAUCCUGAGGCACCUGAAGGCACCUGUUGGGGGGGGGGUCCUGUCACGUGACAGGCAAAGACAUAGACCGGCUACUUUUCAAAUUUUAAUGGAAAAAUAAAUAUAAAACGCAAAAAUCAGCCAUCAUAUGAGAGCGGGGGUUUCAAUUUUCUGGACUUCAAUACCUUGAACAACACCUUUUUUUAAGAUUAAUUGGGUCAAGCAAUUCUUUAAAAAAAUUAAACUCAAUAUGGAAUUAUAUUGACAAUCAUAUAAUUUCUGAAAUUGGUGGUUUAACAUUUCUAUUGGUUUGCAACAUUGAAAAACUUCCUGUUUGCCUUUCUAACUUCAACAAACAAGCGCUGCUUGCAUGGUCUAUUAUUUAUAUAUAUAUAUAUAUAUAUAUAUAUAUAUAUAUAUAUAUAUAUAUAAUUUUUCACAGCACCACUACUAUAUAUGGAAUAAUAGAGAUAUACUUUAAAAAAAACACAACUCUAUUUUUCAAGGAUUCCUUUAAUAAUAACAUUGUCUUGCUAUUCCAUCUGGUGUAUAUUUAAGGCUUGUACAUCAGUUUCUGCUCUUGAUGUUCCUUGUACUGAUGUAGCUGUCUCACCAAUUGGAAAAGUGUGCUUUAACCAACCUGUUCGUAAGAACAAUCACCAGAUCUGUGCUUUAUUUCAGUGUGAUAUCGUUUCUUAUUCAACUAGUAAAGCUUUUUGGAACAGUCGUGUUAAGAAUUUAUGCUGGAAAAACAUUUAGGGACUCCCAUGAAAAUUAUUUUUGGUCAAUAAGGUGAAGGAGGUUUCAUUUAAAAUCAUUCACCGAUGUUAUCCAGUGAGAUCUCUUUUUGUUAAAUACAGAAAUGAUAUUGACAUAAGCUGUGCCUUCUGUGGUUGUCAUACUGGGACUGUAGUCCAGCUGUUCUGGAAGUGUAUACAUACCCGUAAACUGUGGCAAGAUAUAAAUUUAUCCUGGACAAUAUUACUUGUAGCUUUAGAUUCUAUUUGAAAAUCAAUUUUUUUGGUUUCUUAAAGAUCAAUACAGAACGAUUCUUAUCAAUCUCAUUAUAUUUUUUGCAACGUUUUACAUGCAUAAAUGUAAAUUUGACAAAAUAAAUUGUAUAUUAAUAACAAUA